rnacentral:misc_RNA from 1 species
CUUUAUCUCAAGAAGAAGAAGUCUAAAAGCUCACAACUGGGAAUUAAUGGAGGAGUUGGUCAGCAGAGUGAAGAAAAGAAUGGCAGUCCCUCUACUAUGGCUCUAUCCAUAGCGGAAAGCCAAAGAGUAGAAAAUGUACAUAUAAACCAGUUGCUGAAUUCCACACCUCAAUUGAAGAUUGAUUCCCGAUCUCCCUACCCUAAUUACCCAGAUUUGAAACCUCCAUCUUC